rnacentral:tRNA from 1 species
GGAGAGGUGGCCGAGUGGUUUAAGGCGCACGCCUGGAACGCGUGUUGGGUGGCAACGCUCUCGGGGGUUCGAAUCCCCCCUUCUCCGCCA